GACAGAGGGUGCAAACGUUGUUCGGAAUUACUGGGCGUAAAGCGAGUGUAGGCGGUCCGAAAAAGUCAGGUGUGAAAGCCCUGGGCUCAACCCAGGAAGUGCACUUGAAACUGCCGGGCUAGAGUACUGGAGAGGUUGGUGGUAAUUCCUGGUGUAGCGGUGGAAUGCGCAGAUAUCAGGAGGAACACCAAUGGCGAAAGCAGCUCUCUGGGACGGUACUGACGCUGAGACGCGAAAGCGUGGGGAGCGAACAGG
rnacentral:rRNA from 1 species